rnacentral:rRNA from 1 species
AGCGGAUGAUGGGAGCUUGCUCCCGGAUUCAGCGGCGGACGGGUGAGUAAUGCCUAGGAAUCUGCCUGGUAGUGGGGGACAACGUUUCGAAAGGAACGCUAAUACCGCAUACGUCCUACGGGAGAAAGCAGGGGACCUUCGGGCCUUGCGCUAUCAGAUGAGCCUAGGUCGGAUUAGCUAGUUGGUGGGGUAAAGGCCUACCAAGGCGACGAUCCGUAACUGGUCUGAGAGGAUGAUCAGUCACACUGGAACUGAGACACGGUCCAGACUCCUACGGGAGGCAGCAGUGGGGAAUAUUGGACAAUGGGCGAAAGCCUGAUCCAGCCAUGCCGCGUGUGUGAAGAAGGUCUUCGGAUUGUAAAGCACUUUAAGUUGGGAGGAAGGGCA